UGGAAGGCGUACACGUUCAAGUUUUGAUACUGUCUUGUCUGACGAAAUCAAAGAUCAUGGCGAGGUCCGUUUGAGGAGAAUGGUUAUGAAGGAGUCAAUUGAAGAGAUGUUUCCUGUAUGGUCGGAUGAACCUGACGACCCACAACUCGUUAGUGUAAGUUAAUAUUUACAUAUGGCGCGAAAAUUUUAGAUAUUUUAUCUCGCGACCUUUAAUGUUCUAUACUUCCCCUAUAUAUAGCCCCUUCUCUUGCACCUUCUCGCCUUAUCUCACUAGAAAACCUAAACAAUAUCUCUAUAUCGCCUUACAAAGUUAUGAUUGUUCCUGGUUAUUCAGAAAGGUUAGAGAACAGAGUCAAUGAGAUACUAAACUCUGAAAAUCGUGAAAACCUUCCCGUUCUAUACCCUGGCCCGGGUGUCUUGCUUGACAGCGUAAUCUGGUUUAAAUUUCUAAGCGAUCUCUCCCUGGCCAUCCCGUCGAUUUUAGCAGAAGGAUGGGUUCAUGAUUGGCCGACAUGGCGCGCCAUUCCCGAUCAUUUUAAGGAACGCUGGUUUCUUCAACUCGUUGUAAGGACAACAUCUUUGAAUUGUUUUUGAUAUUAGACAUAAUAACAGCACUUACAUUUGGAAAUUGGUUUUUUUGUUGUAGCGCAAACGCACGUGGGCACGAAGAUAUAAUUUUCAAGUUUGGACAAAUUUUAAUCUGGUGGCCAGAACGGUGUUUCGUUGUCAGAUGCGCCUCUUGAAGAGGAGGUGGGCACAUGGGGGUGAGAAGCCUGCGUGGAUGCUAACUAGAGUUUGGCGUGAUCUUGUCCACAUGUUUGAAGAAUUUGGUCCUGAUAAUUUUGGUUUUAGAAAUUGAUUUGUUGUUUUUGUUUGUAUUCAGCCGUCAAGUUUUUGUAAAGUUGUUUAACUCAGCCGUUAAGUUUCUAUAAAGUUGUUUAACUCAGCCAUUAAGUUUCUAUUAAGUUGUUUAACUCA